UAGAAAAAUAGAGAACUUUCUACUGAAACAAAGCCACUAACUAAAUUCAUUUUUUCUAUAAUGAGUAGUCUUAAGGGUCUUCUCCGACCCCAACUCUACCCAAAAAUAGUCCCUGCACAAGAAUUCUGGACUGGACAAGAUGGUACAGAUACUUUUUCCCUGUUUCUCCCAGCUAAGUAUAAAUAUAAACCCUAGAAAAAAAACACAAAAGGAAGCCAGAGAACUCCAAAAGGUGAAAUGGUUAGAGACCCUACAACCAGAGGAAUGUCACAGUGACAGUGUCUUACAACCCACAACCUCACAGAAGGUCACCCAAGCCCAGUGUUUCUAGAGCCUCAAUCUCGUAGCCAGCCCAAAUAGGCUCAUUCCCACUCAGACCAAAGGGGAGUCCCAAUGAUACUACCAGGCUGGCCAGCGGUACUAGCCAGGGAAAAUGGAGCAGGAGCCAUGCUGAUAUUGUUUGGCUGUGUCCCCACCCAAAUCUCAUCUUGAAUUGUAGUUCCCAUAAUCCCGCGUUGUGAGGGACCUGGUGGGAGGUUAUUGAAUCAUGGGGGUGGAUACCCUCAUGCUGUUCUUGUGAUAGUAAGUUAUCACGACAUCUGAUGGGUUUAUAAGGGGCUUUUCCCACUUUGCUCAGCACUUCUCUCUCCUGCUGCCUUGUGAAGAAGGACGUGUUUGCUUCCCCUUCCACUAUGAUUGUUAAGUUUCCUGAGGCCUUCCAAGCCAUGUGGAACUGGGAGUCAAUUAAACCUCUUUCCUUUAUAAAUUACCCAGUCUCAGGUAUGUCUUUAUUAGCAGCAUGAGACUAAUACACCUGCUGACCAUAAGAAGACAGGAAAGCACUCUCCUUACUCACCAAGCCUAAGACUCCCUUCCUCCAAUGAGAAACAGCAGGUGGCUUGCAGCACUAGCAAAGGGGAUCCUGCCACAAAAAAAGGCUCCACCUGGGAAGUGUUUUCCUUGGAGAGAGGGGCAGUCCUCAGCACUAGUGCCUGUCUCCAGGAUAUCUGUUUGUAUUCCCUCUACCUCCAUCAGAGGCAUCAUGAGGCUCUACUGAAGAGCUCCACCCCUUCAGGUAGCACCAGCAGACGCCAGGAGGAACCCUAGCAGCCCCAGAUAAACCAAGAAGACCAAAAUAGCACCACAAAGUCUCUGAAAAUGCAAUUGUCAUUGGAUGCACGGCCCACAAAAUUAGGCCAGGAUUUUCUUGCUAAACCUAAAUGGGAUGACUGCCUACUAAAACAAAAGAUUUAAAUCAGACUCUGAGUCUCCUAACAGCAUAGCCAAAUUCCAGGAUAGAAUGAAAAAUUACCCAACAAACCAAAAGUCAGGAAAAUCACAACUUGACUGUGAAAUGACAACUGACACUAACCCAGAGAUGAAACAGAAGAAGAACUUAUUGACAAAGAUUUUAAAGCAGCCAUCCUCAAAAUGGUGUAAUGAGUAACUGUAAAUUAUUUAGAAACAAAUGAAAAAAUAGAAAAUCUCAGCCAAGAACUAGAAGUUAUUAAAAAAAGAACCACGGUGCUCACAGUUCAGCAGCAAAUACACUAACAUUGGAACAGCAUAGAUAAGAUUAGCAUGGCCCCUGCACAAGGGUGACAUGCAAAGUCGUGACGCAUUCCGUAUUUUUUGAGAAAUUAAAAAAAGAACCAAAUGGAAAUUAUAAAACUAAAAAGUACAACAAAUAUAAACUUAGUGGGUUCAAUAGUAAAAUGAAGGUGACAAAGGACAGAAUCAGUGAACCUGAGAACAGAUCAACAGAAUUACCAAAUUUACUCACUAUGAACAAGAAGAAAAUAGACUAAAAACCGACAAAAAACAGACCCUCAAGGACUUGUAGCACAAUAACAAAAUGUUCAAGAUUCACAUCAUCAAAGGUCCAGAAUAGAGGGAGAAAAAGAGAGUGGGCUUGAAAAAUUGUUUUUAAAAUAAUGGCUUAAAAUUUUCUAAAUUUGGCAAAAAAAUAUAAAUCUACAGAUUCAUAAGCUGUAUAAAUCUCAAACAGGAUAAACCCAAAGAAAUCCAUACCAGGACAUUUCAUAAUUAAAAUUUUGAUAAGUGAAUUGCAAAAAAAAAAAAAAAAAAAAAAGUCUUGAAAGCACUGAGAGAGCAACAACACAUUACCUAUUAGGGAACAUCAACUCCAAUAACAGCAAAUUUCUUACCUGAAACCAUAUAGGCCAGAAGGAAAAGGUGCAUUUUCCAAGUGCUGAAAACAAAGAAUUGUCAUCUUCAAAUUCUAUAUCCAGGAAAACUAUACUUCAAGAAUGAAGGGAAUAUAGAAACAGAUGAAAGAAACAAAAGGACUGUGUUGCUGGCAGACCUUUUAAAAAUGGCUAAAAUAAGUUUUUUGAACAGAAAGAAAAUGAUGGAAGAUGGAAUCAUGGAGCAUUAGGAAAUAAAACAACAAAACAAGCUGAAAUAUGGCUACAUACGAUAGAUGAUCCUCCUCAUGAGUUUCAUAAGAUAUAUUAGAUGACUUAAACAUUAUAACACCAUCUGAUACUCAAGACAAUAAUAUUUAAAAGUGGGAAAGGUAAAAGCAUUUAAAUGGAAAUAAGGCCCCCAUGUGUCACUCAAAGUGGUAAAAUGUUGAUAUCAGUAGACUGUGAUAAGUCACAUGUGUAUUGUAAUGAGAUAGCAACCAAAAGGAAAACUAUUCAAAGAGGUAUACUCAAAGACAUAGUAAAUAAAUAGAGGUAUAAUCCCAAAAGUCCUCAAUAUCUAUUUGGGAUUCUGCAUAUCAAAUGACUCAAUAUAAAUAAAAGUAUUAAGUUGUUCAUGGCAAAGUCCUAGACUAGGAGCUACCUCAUUCUGAGACAGAACUAGACUGGAGCAUGUUUCUGACUCUUAACUAGGAAUCAGGAUCACCAGAAAUUCCUGGACCUUAACUGCCACAUCUUUGAAAUAGGAGUGGCUGGAGAAGUAGGUCUGGCAGACAACCUGGACCACACCCAGUGAUAAUUCUAUACAUUAUUACAGGUUUUAAUUCUUCUCAUCCAUCCCGUGUUAUCCCUUAUGAUUCAGAUGUCUUUCAAAGUGCUCUGAAAACUGUAAGAAAGUUCACAAUCCAAAGAGGAUAUUGUAUGACACACUCCAAGC
rnacentral:lncRNA from 1 species